rnacentral:rRNA from 1 species
AGAGUUUGAUCAUGGCUCAGAAUGAACGCUGGCGGCGUGCUUAACACAUGCAAGUCGCACGAGAACGCUUCAGCUUGCUGAAGCUAGUAAAGUGGCGUACGGGUGAGUAACGCGUGGGUAAUCAACCUCUGAAUUGGGGAUAACAUUGCGAAAGCGAUGCUAAUACCGGAUAAUAUCCAUUGAACCUUGGUUUUUUGGAUCAAAGGUGGCCUCUACAUGUAAGCUACUGUUUGGAGACGAGCCCGCGUACCAUUAGCUUGUUGGUAGGGUAAUGGCCUACCAAGGCAACGAUGGUUAGCUGGUCUGAGAGGAUGAUCAGCCACACUGGAACUGACACACGGUCCAGACUCCUACGGGAGGCAGCAGUGAGGAAUUUUGCGCAAUGGGGGAAACCCUGACGCAGCAACGCCGCGUGAGUGAUGAAGGCUUUCGGGUCGUAAAGCUCUGUCAAGUGGGAAGAACCCGUGCCGCACAAAUAGUGCGGUGCGCUGACGGUACCACUGAAGGAAGCACCGGCUAACUCCGUGCCAGCAGCCGCGGUAAUACGGGGGGUGCAAGCGUUAUUCGGAAUCAUUGGGCGUAAAGAGCGCGUAGGCGGUCUUCUAUGUCAGGUGUGAAAGCCCUGGGCUCAACCCGGGAAGUGCACUUGAAACUGGGAGACUUGAGUAUGGGAGAGGGAAGUGGAAUUCCUGGUGUAGCGGUGAAAUGCGUAGAUAUCAGGAGGAACACCGGUGGCGAAGGCGACUUCCUGGACCAAUACUGACGCUGAGGGCGAAGGCGUGGGGAGCAAACAGGAUUAGAUACCCUAGUAGUCC